rnacentral:rRNA from 1 species
GACGAACGCUGGCGGCGUGCCUAGUACAUGCAAGUCGAACGCUUUUUCUUUCACCGGAGCUUGCUCCACCGAAAGAAAAAGAGUGGCGAACGGGUGAAUAACACGUGGGUAACCUGCCCAUCAGAAGGGGAUAACACUUGGAAACAGGUGCUAAUACCGUAUAACACUAUUUUCCGCAUGGAAGAAAGUUGAAAGGCGCUUUUGCGUCACUGAUGGAUGGACCCGCGGUGCAUUAGCUAGUUGGUGAGGUAACGGCUCACCAAGGCAACGAUGCAUAGCCGACCUGAGAGGGUGAUCGGCCACACUGGGACUGAGACACGGCCCAGACUCCUACGGGAGGCAGCAGUAGGGAAUCUUCGGCAAUGGACGAAAGUCUGACCGAGCAACGCCGCGUGAGUGAAGAAGGUUUUCGGAUCGUAAAACUCUGUUGUUAGAGAAGAACAAGGAUGAGAGUAGAACGUUCAUCCCUUGACGGUAUCUAACCAGAAAGCCACGGCUAACUACGUGCCAGCCGCCGCGGUAA